GGGGAGGCCCCAGGAGCCCCCGGCUCGGGGACGGCAAAGGGAGAAGUGCCGCGGGUCGAAAAUUAACGAUGCACGCCCGAGGUGGGAAUCCGGCCCGAAAGCCGGGCCAGGGAAGGGAGAGCAGGCCGACAGACUUACCGUCGGGCUCCCUCACCGCCAACGCUGCCUCAGCGCCCUGACUCCGGAGCACCUGCAGGGCCGUGAACCCGCCUCCCGCGGCGCCCACCGCAGCUCCGGCCACGAAGACACUCAGAAAGCGCCGGGAGCCGCUGAGGCGGGAAGCAAAACUUCCCGCGGCCAUCUUCUUCUAAGGGCCUGCCUUCUACAGCGGCGCAUGCGCACACCUGCACGGUCGCCUGAAAGCCAAUCGCAACCGCAGGAGCGACACACGCAUGCGCAACCUGGGGUCGCCCGGUACAAGCCCCGCUGGAGGCGCCAGAGGUGAGGGCGCAGGCGCACACCCUCCGCGCUGAGAGUCUCGGGAGCCCCCUGGUGACAAAACUGGCGGGCCGGGUGUAUCCCCGCUCCGUCCCUGGUCCCUUUGAUCGGGUGAUAGGUGGGACGCAUGACCUCUGGAGGGCGCAGUGGUGUGCACAGAGAGUCCUGAGAAGAAAAUACCUUUAGUGCCACUUAAUAGGUGAGGAAACCACCUGCACAUGGUUACAGUGAAGGCCUCAGAGCCACGAUCCCAACUCCGGUCUCAUUCCAAAACCUGUGCCACAUUGGAUGUCUUCGUGACACCUGGCUGCGAGGUCACAGUAUAGGAGUCCUAACUUCUCAAAACAGCUUUGUACAUCCUAAGGAGCCUCUUGAUGAGACAGUACUCGGUGGUGGCUUAGGGCCGUGAAUCAGAGCGCAGGGGUUUGGAUGCGCGACCAUUUUCCACUUCAGAACACAAAAUCCAGACUGCUGAAUGACGGCUGACAAAGUAAGUAAGGAGAUGUUCUAUGCACUCCCACUCAAAAUACAUUUUGCAGUGCAAUCGACAGCACUCCACGUGGACUUAAGCAGGAGGCCUUCCCGACAUCCAGCUAAGGAAGGAAGUACAAAUGUUGUUUUGACAGCUUCCGGAUUCCAUGUCCCCUCCCCAGGAAUACCUAUUAUAAAGCGGCUCCGUAUCAUCAGUCCCCUACCUCCGACCCUAAUUGGCUGAGCUAGGUCAACCAGAAUGUUUCCAGGGAUUGUGGAUCUGCAAGACUCUCCAGGUAGCAGAGCUGUGACAUUUGAAAGUCUGGCACCAUCUGUAGCCUUGUUUCCCGCUAAGUGGACAAAGCAGAUGCAGCUGGUUUUGCGCUAAGCAACCCAGGAGGAAACGGAGGGCUGCCGUGCUGUGAUCCCAGCUUCCAAGACGCCUGAAGCCCGGUCGCAUCUUGCCUUUACCAAAGCUUGCCUGGCCCUUUGCCCCAGGAUCCUUCGUGUAACCACGCCCCCCCCCUUUUUUUGUUUAAUGGCUUCUGUCAUUUGCAAUCAAGAGUCCCGACAAAUACAACCAGACAGCACUGGUGUUGACCAUAGGUUUCAAAGCUACCUCGGCAACUUGUACCAGCAUUUACGACCUACAUUCAAGAGGUGUUUGUUGCUCAAGGCCUUCCUAAGUGCCGUGUGCUGUGAUAGACACCAGAGAUAAAUGGGAGGUGACGGUUCCUCAUCCAGAUCCUGUAUGUGGAAACAACAGUGAACCCCUCACUUGGCCCCCAGAGGUCAAGAGCUGGAAGUAAGGGCUGCCUGACUUAGGGUAGGGUAUCUCCCUCUGGGCCAGUUUGCCCCCCUUUAAAAUGAAGGAAUUGGAGCAGUGGUUUUUGAACUGUAACUAGGGGACUGUAACUAGGAGACUUAAGGGAAGGAGUGGAAGGGCAGGCUUAAUGGCCCCUGCACCCUCUUGUACUUGCUCACUUGAGCAAGCCUGUUUUUAGAAAUCAGCUUCUGCGUCCAGUUCCUUCUGGUGAAAGAAUUCCUUUGCUGAAGGAGAAGUGUGACCAGAUGACCUCUCGGGUCCAACCUUCCAAUAGUUCUAGCUUUAAGGUCCUCAUUCCACAAGGUCAGCCUUUCUUUCCUUCUCUGCACUUAUCAUUAGAGACAUUCACUAGUAAAAGGUGAACUAUCUAAAUCUGAAAGAGCCGAAUGGACCAAGAGCUGGGCAAUUGGUCCCAAAAUAAAGGGUCCCUUCAUUGAAAACUGCUAAGAGUUCCAAACAGGUUGCUUAAUCCUUUUAAAGCACGAAUAGAAAGGCAUUAACCCUACCAGGAGGAGGAUCCAAAGCUGGCAUUUCCCCACUUAGCAAUUAUUAGUCACGGGCCUAAAAAAACCUAUGUUACUGAGGAAAGCAGUGAUUUCUGGGGCUUUCCCCUUUUCUUUGUUAGACAAUAGAGACUAUCGUUGUUUUAUUAACAGGGAACCAUGUUUUCAUCUAGUGAGGGAAGUCAAGAACUCCAAAACGUGAGACCUGGCUUACUGAUUCAGAUCUGGGGUGGUGCCCCAUAACUAUAUUGUUUGAUUUUACAGGGACCCUGACACUCAGCUGUGUUUAGAAAUGGCAGAGCCAGUAUUCCGCAGUAAUCCAGAAUAACACUUAUAUCCUAGGCUUCUCUGCUCCACUUACAAAAAUAUUGCCCAGAGUUGUCUGCAAAGUAUAGAACUAGGGGGAGUGGGUAAAAGUUGGAAAUUUGGUAAAUAUACCCCUACCCUGCAGGAGCUUACCCCGAGUCCCAGGACAGUCCAUUUAGAAGCCCACAGUGUCUCCAACUAGGUCCUGAGCUUCUGAAGGGCAGAAAUGAAGACCCGUGCCGAGCUCCAGUACCACAGGACCAUGGUAGACUACGUACUCAACCAUUAACAACUGUACGUGUACCACACAGGAACUCACAGGGGUGUUUCUGAGUCAGCUCUGUAAGUGGAAAACACCAUUAUAUUUAUUUCUAAUCCCCAUGAAAAGAAACCUCAAUCCCCUGCCACGUGAUUAAGAGAGACAACAGGGUAGUUUAAUUAUUAUUAUUUUAUUUUCAUAUACAAAAAGAUAAAACUUGAAAUAGCUCUAGAUUUUUCCUCCUAUUCUGUUGGGGUGUGGCUGCUUCUUCACACAGGGGGAAAAAACUACAUUCACAUCGGUUUAUUUGAGGACCCAGUGCAGAGUUCAAGCAGCAAAACCCCAACUUAGCAGAUCUAAUUUCAAACUUGACACUCAUUUCUAAAAUUACCACAGUAAAAAGGAACAAAGAUCCACUGCAAAUGAAUGAACUAUGAUACAAUGUUCUUUCCAAAAUGUCUUCAUUUUGCAACUGUAAUUACAUGGAUGUCUGCUUUAGGCCAUUUUAGAUGUGUGCAUGUAUAUAAUAUAUAUACGUGUGUAUAUGCGUGUGUGUUAUAUAUAUAUAUGUGUGUAUAUAUAUAAGUCCGCACACUUUUCAAAUCCAGACAGGGUAACAGCAACAAGCUUAACUCUGUGUGUGUGUGUGUGUGUGUGUGUGUGUGUGUGUGUGUGUGUGUAUUUUAAACAUGAUACUUUAGUAUAACUUUUUGUUAAUUCAGUAGUACAAGCUAUUUCUGUUCUACAAAUUUUUUAUUUUAUAGCUACAAGGGUGAAAGUGACCUAUUACAUUUACAUCUCACAUAUCCUGGUAUACAAACAGUACUUACUGAAUUUGAGCCAAAAACUAGAAAUCUUUAUUUUUAGCACUUGAAGAGCUUCCUCACUUCUACAGCCUUAAGUUGUAUACUAGUCACAUUUCCAGAGUUUGUAAUUAUUCAUUGUUUUAAACUGCAAGAAACAGGUGAAUCCAAACUUUUAAUUACAAUUGUUAUAUACAAGUUAGAUAACACAGCUCAGUAAGACUUUGCUAUCCAUCCUAAACCCAACACACACAUUCUCCACUAAGUUAGACAAGUCCUUAGGAUUUUCCUUCGUUUCCUUACAAAUAAUGUACAAAUUUAGAAGUAGCUGGUAAAACUGAUACAUAAGAUGGCAAAUGAGAGGUGACAUUUUCUGUCGGUUCCAAAACUGGUCCUGCAAAUCUUGUAUUCUGCUGUGUUCUUUAACUGUGUGUCUGUUACAUGCAGAAGCUCUUUUCACAAGAAUUGACAUCAAACUCAAGGUAAGUUAAAUUUACAGUACUGUGAAGUUAUCAGAUUCAAGGACAAAUGUGAAAAAAUAUUAACAGGUGAAAAAUUCGGCCCUUUGAUGCUACUGUUAAGAUCAUGUCAAAUUCAUAAGCAGAUUCUUUUGUACAGUUGAAAAAUGGCAUUGUGUGGAUUUGUGGCAUGGAACUGAAAUCUAGAAGUAUGCUUCUAUUCUGCGGUAACCCUCACCCUCAAUUCUUAAGUACCACUCAAUUUUCUUUGCAUUUUUACAGAAUUCUAGGGGAAAAAAACGGGGGG